rnacentral:tRNA from 1 species
GUUCGUGUAGCGUAGUGGUAGGGGGUAGUUUUGUUGCUGGUGUGGUCGUGGGUUCGAAUCCCCGAGAGACCC